GAUUCUUAACUAGUGAGAAUCCAAGCAUUUCUCCUAUACCCUUUCGAAAAUCGUCAAGUCCUGUAACUAUGAAUGAUACUUCCACAUAACAUAAGACUAUAGUGGAAUUCGAAGCAGUUGGUUAUGAUAUUAUACUGAAUGAACAAUCUCAGAUCCAACCUUAGUUAGUCAAAUAGGCACUCUACCUACAAGCAUACACAAAGGUACUAAAUAAUGAACAUUACCCUACUGAAUUAAAAUGGUAUUUAAUAAAAUCAGAAACUGGCUUUUACAAAAAUUUAGUCUCAAAAAUUGAAACAUACUCAAAUAUGAAGAAGGUGCAGCUCGUUGCAACAAUUAGUCCAACUGUAACGUAGAAUAUUCCAACUUGUUUAGCCAUCAUUAUCCUUCCUUCACAACAAAAACGGUUUCUUCCUGGAUAUAUUUCCCACUUCCUGGUUGCAUGGGGCAUGCU